rnacentral:misc_RNA from 1 species
GUUGGUGAACCAGCGGAGGGAUCAUUAUAGAGUCUUAAAAAACUCCCAAACCCAUGUGAACUUAUCAUAUUGUUGCCUCGGCGUAGCUGGGGAGGCUUGGACCUUUUGCCCAGCAAUCGGGACGCUUCUUCAGCCGCCGGUGGACAAACCAAACUCUGUUUUUAUUGAAUCUCUGAGUGAUUAUUAAAUAAAUCAAAACUUUCAACAACGGAUCUCUUGGUUCUG